rnacentral:rRNA from 1 species
AACGAACGCUGGCGGCAUGCCUAACACAUGCAAGUCGAACGAGACCUUCGGGUCUAGUGGCGCACGGGUUCGUAACGCGUGGGAACCUGCCCUUAGGUUCGGAAUAACUCCCCGAAAGGGGUGCUAAUACCGGAUAAUGUCUUCGGACCAAAGAUUUAUCGCCUUUGGAUGGUCCCGCGUUGGAUUAGCUAGUUGGUAGGGUAAAAGCCUACCAAGGCUACGAUCCAUAGAUGGUUUGAGAGGAUGAUCAGCCACACUGGGACUGAGACACGGCCCAGAAUACUACGGGAGGGAGGAGUGGGGAAUAUUGGAAAAGGGGGGAAAGGCUGAUAAAGGAAUGCCGGGUGAGAGAUGAAGGCAUUAGGGUAGUAAAGCACAUUUAACCGGGAAGAUAAUGACAGUAACGGGAGAAUAAGCAACGGCUAACUCCGUG